rnacentral:rRNA from 1 species
ACACCUACGGGACGCAGCAGUGGGGAAUAUUGCACAAUGGGGGAAACCCUGAUGCAGCGACGCCGCGUGAGUGAAGAAGUAUUUCGGUAUGUAAAGCUCUAUCAGCAGGGAAGAAAUACUGACCUUACGGUCAGCAGACGGUACCUGACUAAGAAGCCCCGGCUAACUACGUGCCAGCAGCCGCGGUAAUACGUAGGGGGCAAGCGUUAUCCGGAUUUACUGGGUGUAAAGGGAGCGUAGACGGCAGCGCAAGUCUGAAGUGAAAACCCGGGGCUCAACCCUGGGACUGCUUUUGAAACUGAUUG